rnacentral:tRNA from 1 species
AUUCUAGUAGCUUAAUACUAAAGCAUUGGUCUUGUAAACCAAAGACUGAAAACCACAAUUUCCUAGAAUA